rnacentral:RNase_P_RNA from 1 species
CCAGAGGGUCGGGCGAUCGCCGCCGCGCAAGCGGGGGAGGAAAGUCCGGGCUCCACGGAAACUACGGUGCCGGAUAACGUCCGGCGGGCCGGUCCUCGGACCGGUUCAGGGAAAGUGCCACAGAGAGCAGACCGCCAAAGGCUUCGGCCCGGCGAAAGGUGAAAGGGUGCGGUAAGAGCGCACCGCGCGGACGGUAACGGACGCGGCAUGGCAAACCCCACCGGGAGCAAGGUCGAAUAGGGAUGGCACGGAGAAAUCCAGGGUCGGUUCCGGCCCCGCCGUCCGGGUUGACUGCUCGAGCGUUCGGGUAACCGUUCGCCUAGAGGAAUGAUCGCCUAUCCCCGGCAACGGGGUGGACAGAACCCGGCUUACAGACCCUCUGGCAAC